rnacentral:rRNA from 1 species
CGUGACCACGGGGGCAGCAGUGAGGAAUAUUGGUCAAUGGGCGGAAGCCUGAACCAGCCAAGUCGCGUGAGGGAAUAAGGCCCUACGGGUCGUAAACCUCUUUUGCCGGGGAGCAAGGGCGGGGACGUGUCCCGGCCCGGAGAGUACCCGGAGAAAAAGCAUCGGCUAACUCCGUGCCAGCAGCCGCGGUAAUACGGAGGAUGCGAGCGUUAUCCGGAUUUAUUGGGUUUAAAGGGUGCGUAGGCGGGCUUUUAAGUCAGCGGUAAAAAUUCGGGGCUCAACCCCGUCCGGCCGUUGCAACUGGG